rnacentral:lncRNA from 1 species
AAAGUUAUUGUUUGAUCUCUUUAUUCAUUGAUUUGGUUAAGCACUUAAAAGUCAUUCAUUUUUAUGCAACUUGAUUACAUGACAUUUAAGAAAUGAUAUUAAGUUCCUCUUUGGAUCGUUUGAGCUUUCAAGUUAACCUUGUGCAUUCUUAAGCAUGAUUUUCCAUUGUUAACCACUUUGAGCCUAUAUGUAAACCUUUUCUUUCAAUUAACCAAUUUUGUUUCCUUGCCUUAGCAUGAAAAACAAGUAUUACCUUUCCAAGGAACUCAUGAGCUUUAAUUUGGAUGUGUUUUUCAUGCUAAGUGUGGGAAUGGGUGUUACAUAUUGAAAAAAAAAAAAAAGAAGAGAAAUUUACUCAAUUGGUGAAAGAAAAGAGAAAAGUUGUGGUGAAGUGGCG